AUUGAACGCUGGCGGCAGGCCUAACACAUGCAAGUCGAGCGAGCGGCGGACGGGUGAGUAGUGUCUGGGAAACUGCCUGAUGGAGGGGGAUAACUACUGGAAACGGUAGCUAAUACCGCAUACCAUCAGAUGUGCCCAGAUGGGCUUAGCUAGUAGGUGGGGUAAUGGCUCACCUAGGAGACGAUCCCUAGCUGGCCUGAGAGGAUGACCAGCCACACUGGAACUGAGGCACGGUCCAGACUCCUGCGUGAGGCAGCAGUGGGGAAUAUUGCACAAUGGGCGCAAGCCUGAUGCAGCCAUGCCGCGUGUGUGAAGAAGGCCUUCGGGUUGUAAAGCACUUUCAGCGGGGAGGCGUUACCCGCAGAAGAAGCACCGGCUAACUCCGUGCCAGCAGCCGCGGUAAUUC
rnacentral:rRNA from 1 species